UACGUAGGGUGCGAGCGUUAAUCGGAAUUACUGGGCGUAAAGCGUGCGCAGGCUGUUUUGUAAGUCAGAUGUGAAAUCCCCGAGCUCAACUUGGGAACUGCGUUUGAAACUACAAGACUAGAAUAUGUCAGAGGGGGGUAGAAUUCCACGUGUAGCAGUGAAAUGCGUAGAGAUGUGGAGGAAUACCAAUGGCGAAGGCAGCCCCCUGGGAUAAUAUUGACGCUCAGGCACGAAAGCGUGGGGAGCAAACAGG
rnacentral:rRNA from 1 species